GCUUGUUUUCUUGCGGCUUAAUGACAAGAAGUUAACUGGACCUAUCCCUAGGGAACUUGUUGGUGUUUCAAGCCUCAAAGUUGUUGAUGUCUCAAGCAAUGAUUUGUGUGGACCAAUUCCUACCAGUGGACCAUUUGAGCACAUUCCUCUAAACAACUUCGAGAAAAACCCUCGCCUAGAAGGUCCCGAGCUUCUGGGGCUCGCAAGUUACGACACAAACUGCUCGUCAAGUACAGGUUGAUGUUAUAAAGCUUGGAGUUGAAUAUGUACUGACAUGGUUUUAAGCAUAUUAUCACACCGUAUAAUGGGGGUUCCUUGAACGCUAGCCCUCGUACGUGUAAAUC